rnacentral:tRNA from 1 species
GGGCUUGUAGCUCAGUGGCAGAGCACUUGCUUAGAAUGUAUGAGGCACUGGGUUCAAUCCUCAGGACCA